CUCUUCUCUUUGUCAAAGAAUAUCCAUGGCUGAUCACCCAAAUAUAGUCAAGUCAUCAACAACAUUAGUUCUAGAUAGUACAAUCUCAAUCUUCAUUAUGUUCUUUUUCAGGAUUAUUAGAUGCACCUUUAAAACUAGUGUUCCCCACUCUCCCAUCUUUGUGAGCUUCACCAUAAGUUAUUUAUGAAAAUAUAAAAAAAAAAAAAUUAGAGAAAUUACCAUAACUAUGAACUCAUGCUUCUAGUUAAAAGUAUAAAUAAUUAUUUCAACAUUUUUCAAUAAUAGACGACUUUUAUUCAAAGUUCU
rnacentral:lncRNA from 1 species